rnacentral:rRNA from 1 species
CCCAGACUCCUACGGGAGGCAGCAGUGGGGGAUAUUGCACAAUGGGGGGAACCCUGAUGCAGCGACGCCGCGUGGGUGAAGGAGUGCUUCGGCAUGUAAAGCCCUAUCGGCAGGGAAGAAGCAAGACGGUACCUGACUAAGAAGCCCCGGCUAACUACGUGCCAGCAGCCGCGGUAAUACGUAGGGGGCGAGCGUUAUCCGGAUUCACUGGGUGUAAAGGGAGCGUAGACGGCCAUGCAAGCCAGGGGUGAAAGCCCGGGGCCCAACCCCGGGACUGCAUUGGGAACUACCGGGCUGGAGUGCCGGAGAGGUAGGCGGAAUUCCUAGUGUAGCGGUGAAAUGCGUAGAUAUUAGGAGGAACACCAGUGGCGAAGGCGGCCUACUGGACGGUGACUGACGCUGAGGCUCGAAAGCGUGGGGAGCAAACAGGAUUAGAUACCCUAGUA